GCGCCCCGGCGGAGAGCACGUCUCUGGAAGCCAGCGCGGCCCGGCGCCGGGGAGGAGCGAGUGCACGGGGCCGCGCUCCGGGCCGCCUUCCCGGCCUGGGUGCUCGAAUUCAGCUCCGGGCACGUUUGCUUCUAGGUAGUCACGAAGGGAUCGAAGAGGGCCCCAGAACUCGAGGAUUGUCCCUGCUUGGGAGCCCCUUGAAGCCAGCACACGAUUCUUUGGCAGAGUAAUUUCGGAACCUGGCCUGCGCCAGGCCUAACCUCUAGCCUUGUCCUCAACGAGCGCACGAUCGAGUAGCAAAGACAGACAUGUAAACAAAAUUUCGACACAGUGUGAUGACUGCAACGACAACAACAACAAAAGCAUUAUGAGGUUAAAUGUAAAAAGGGCUUUAGAAGUUGGUGUCUGAUGAUAGCACCCUGAAGGGAAGACCACAAACUCCUGGUGAAGUGGUGAUUUUCCAGUCCACUUUACUUUCUUCUACCUACCCUUGAGGUCCAGUUGUCCAGCUCGUCUUUAAAUGUCAUGAGAUAACUUUAACAGCAUGACCACAAAAAAGAAAAAACAGAAGAAGAGGAGGAAGAUGGGGAGAAAAGGAAGAAGAAAACACCCAAAGCAGCAUUACUUUGUGGGGAAGUCUGUCAUCUACUGGAUCCUGAGGAACCUAGACACAGUAGGGAACAAGACGACAGAGAUACUGAGGAUCCGGGUGGCCGUUGAAGGUCCUCUUUCCAGCGCUCUGCCUAGAGAGCAUAGCAGUCGCUUGUGGAUCUGCCAUGCACACCCACGCCGUUCGACUCCACGCGAUGUCGGCGGUGGUCCUUCCGAGAAGCCAGAUCGUUCAGACAACUGGGGUCCUACCUGCAUUACUGAGUCUAUCUAAGGACCGACCGUCAGCCUCACGGGGUGGAAAUGUGUCAAUCCAAGCGCCCAGCCCUAGUGGAAUAUCAGAAAACCGAGUGUAGUGGUUGGAAGAGCAUCAUCUCUUUGCUAAAACUCUUGGGCCAUUCACGUUAUUCAAUCAAGAAACAUUUACUGAAAAAAACACAGGGUGUGAGGACCAUACUAGAUGCGAGGGAUACAAGGCAGACGUGGACCCUGCCUUCCCAGAGUUCAUGGUCUAUUGAAGACAAACAAGUAAACAAUUUAAAUACAGCUAAAAUGACCACAAGGAGUUCUUGACAGGCGUACAACUGAGUGAGGGUUUGAGAUGGCUUUCAUGAGAUGAUGGCGUGAAGAAUCGAUGUUAGAAGGGAAGUGUCUAGGUAAAGGAAACGACAGAUGGAAAAAUCCAAAAAUGAAAUUGCACUGAGCAAUUAGGGAAGUAGUUCUGUGCACCAGGGAUACAGGAGUUGAGGGGAAGAUAGUGGAGAGAGAUGAGACGCAGGUAAGCAGAGAAUCUUGUGAAUCUGGUGGUUUCAAAGUGUGGAGGAGGUGGGUUGUCUCCUGAUAGCCUUAUAUACUACAGAUCCUGUCAGAGCUCAGAGUUCAUUUGUACCAGGUCUCUUCCUAAUACAAGAAUGCUCUAAAUGAGACAUUGACAGGACGUGGUGUAACUGUGUGCAGAACUGGUAUUAGUCCACAAAAUAAUUGAAAAUCAACAAACAGUUACUGAUUAUCCAGUGUGUAUCACGGAAAGCAAUUAGAAUAUAGACUAAACAAUUACCCCAAUUGAUUACCAAAAUAAUUUUUAAAUCAGGUAAAAAUUGGAAAUAUUUCUGAAAAAAGUUGUUCCCCGUAGUAGUAACUUCCAGUGUUCACUCUUCUAAAACAAGUAUGCCAUUUACAAAGUAGUUUUACAUGCAUUUUGAUUUCCCCAACAACCCCAGGAAAAAAAUAAAAUAGGUGAUAUUAGUCCCCAAACUCUUCAGCUGAAGACACUGAAAUUUUUUUUAAGGUGAGGAGAGGGGAGAAAAAAGAAAAAAACAGAUGUAUUAUCCAAAGACAAUCUGCCAGGAAGAAAUAUAAUCAGGACUCAAGCCCCCCUUCUGCUCAUUACAGCACCUCCUACUGUCUCCUGUGGCAAUGUUAGAUUGUUAGAUGUUAAGUUUAGAAAGGCUGCUGGUAGCAAGUCUAAGUGCUUUUGCAAUUUAUUUAAUAUUUCAAUACCAUUUGUUCACAGUUGACUGUAUUAUUUCUGAUUUUCACCUUCUUUUACAUCUAAUAGUCUACUAGAUUCUUUUCUGCAAUAUCUAAGUGGAUUUUACAUCUAAUAGUCUACUAGAUUCUUUUCUGCAAUAUCUAAGUGGAUUGUUUUGAAAUCAAAUGAGAUAUUAUUUACGGAAAAACAUUCAAUAAGGUGUUUUCCUUGCUCCUUAAAUAAUAGUUGUUAAUGUCAUUAAGCUUCAGUAAAAAUUCUGUCCAAGAUUUUAGAAUGAAAUAAAGGUUUAAAAAUAUGAGCUUUUUAAAGAUUUUAUUUAUUUAUUCAUGACAGACA